GCCAGGAGGACAGAGAGGAAAGCCAGCAGCUUUUAGAGGACAGUGAAGCCGCCUCACCAUCCUGAGGGCCCACGUCACUGUCUGCAGACUGUCACGUAAAGGAGGAAACGUUGCCAGUCCUCUCCCAGCUCCUACGCUUGCUGCCUACCAUCUCUUAGCUCCAACCAGGCCGGAAUCUUCUAGAGACUAAGAGGGCCCCCCAAAACCUGGAUCCUCCCCUGUCCCCUGCCCUCGGGGAGCUGCCCAGAUCCACAGCCACCCUUGGAGCACAGCCAGCCAGAAAGGCGGAAUUGCAGAUGGCAGAGCUGUGUGCAGCUGUGGGACUCCUCAAAGCCGUCUUGGGUUAUAUUCCUGGAAAAGGCACUGCAGGCCUUAUAAACCCAUCUCCUUUGCUGGGGGUCUUCUUUUCUUUUCUGAAGAAGAAAAAUGAUAAGGAGGGGAAGGAGAAAAGUAGGAGGAAGAGAAGGAGCUCAGCUCCAACUGAGCUGAG
rnacentral:lncRNA from 1 species